rnacentral:rRNA from 1 species
GGAUCAUUACACAAAUAUGAAGGCGGGCUGGAACCUCUCGGGGUUACAGCCUUGCUGAAUUAUUCACCCUUGUCUUUUGCGUACUUCUUGUUUCCUUGGUGGGUUCGCCCACCACUAGGACAAACAUAAACCUUUUGUAAUUGCAAUCAGCGUCAGUAACAAAUUAAUAAUUACAACUUUCAACAACGGAUCUCUUGGUUCUGGCAUCGAUGAAGAACGCAGCGAAAUGCGAUAAGUAGUGUGAAUUGCAGAAUUCAGUGAAUCAUCGAAUCUUUGAACGCACAUUGCGCCCUUUGGUAUUCCAAAGGGCAUGCCUGUUCGAGCGUCAUUUGUACCCUCAAGCUUUGCUUGGUGUUGGGCGUCUUGUCUCUAGCUUUGCUGGAGACUCGCCUUAAAGUAAUUGGCAGCCGGCCUACUGGUUUCGGAGCGCAGCACAAGUCGCACUCUCUAUCAGCAAAGGUCUAGCAUCCAUUAAGCCUUUUUUUCAACUUUUGACCUCGGAUCAGGUAGGGAUACCCGCUGAACU